rnacentral:rRNA from 1 species
GUCUACGGCCACACCACCCUGAACGCGCCUGAUCUCAUCUGAUCUUGGAAGCUAAGUAGGGUUGGGCUUGGUUAGUACUUGGGUGGGAGACCGCAUGGGAAUACCAAAUACUGUAGACU